rfam:Stegodyphus mimosarum contig18998, whole genome shotgun sequence.
GCCUUCGUGGUGUAAUGGUCAGCACACUGAGCCGGUAUUUCAGAGGUCCGUGGUUCGAUCCCCGCCGAAGGCA